UACGAGGGGGGCAAGCGUUGUUCGGAUUUAUUGGGCGUAAAGGGUGCGUAGGCGGUCUGGCAAGUCUUGUGUGAAAUCUUCGGGCUCAACCCGAAGUCUGCACAAGAAACUGCCGGGCUUGAGUAUGGGAGAGGUGAGUGGAAUUUCCGGUGUAGCGGUGAAAUGCGCAGAUAUCGGGAGGAACACCGGUGGCGAAGGCGGUUCUCUGGGCCUUACCUGACGCUGAGGAGCGAAAGCGUGGGGAGCGAACAGG
rnacentral:rRNA from 1 species